rnacentral:rRNA from 1 species
CCUACGGGUGGCAGCAGUGGGGAAUAUUGGGCAAUGGAGGCAACUCUGACCCAGCAACGCCGCGUGAGCGAUGAAGGUCUUCGGAUUGUAAAGCUCUGUCGCAGGGGACGAAGUAUGACGGUACCUGACUAAGAAGCCCCGGCUAACUACGUGCCAGCAGCCGCGGUAAUACGUAGGGGGCAAGCGUUAUCCGGAUUUACUGGGUGUAAAGGGAGCGUAGACGGCAGCGCAAGUCUGGAGUGAAAUGCCGGGGCCCAACCCCGGAACUGCUCUGGAAACUGUGAAGCUGGAGUGCAGGAGAGGUAAGCGGAAUUCCUGGUGUAGCGGUGAAAUGCGUAGAUAUCAGGAGGAACACCGGCGGCGAAGGCGGCUUACUGGACUGUAACUGACGUUGAGGCUCGAAGGCGUGGGGAGCAAACAGGAUUAGAUACCCCUGUAGUC